rnacentral:tRNA from 1 species
GGGGAAUUAGCUCAAGUGGUAGAGCGCUCGCUUAGCAUGCGAGAGGUACCGGGAUCGAUGCCCGGAUUCUCCA